GAUGAAGAACGCAGUGAAAUGCGAUAAGUAAUGUGAAUUGCAGAAUUCAGUGAAUCAUCGAAUCUUUGAACGCACAUUGCGCCCGGCAGUACUCUGCCGGGCAUGUCUGUUCGAGCGUCAUUUCAACCCUCAAGCCCUGCUUGGUGUUGGGGCCCUACGGCUGCCGUAGGCCCCGAAAGGAAGUGGCGGGCUCGCUACAACUCCGAGCGUAGUAACUCAUUAUCUCGCUUAGGGCGUUGGGCGGCGCUCCAGCCGUUAAAGAACCAUCUUUAACUCAAGGUUGACCUCGGAUCAGGUAGGAAUACCCGCUGAACUUAAGCAUAUCAAUAAGCGGAGGA
rnacentral:misc_RNA from 1 species